AUGUCAAAGAUUAUUUUAAGCUUACACUCAGCUAAGUUUUACGUGAGUAAAGUCUGAGCAAAGUCUAAGUACGCUCUAUAGAUCUCAACCUUAGUAAUGAGGGACCCGUUCCUUACCCUUCGGAUACGAAAUCGUAAAAGUACGCUCAGUAUCACCCAAAAAUAGUAAUUCUAGGUGUAUAGUUGUCCAAAAGCAAUCAGGAGCGUCAUUGCCAAAAGGAGCAGCAGGGAGUCCCGAUGACAGUGAAGAAGAUGAGGAUACCGAGAAAAAACCAGAACCUCGUCAUCCAAAACAUGAUAGAAGAUAUACUGGACUGCACGAUGUUGAGAACAUACCCGACGUCUUGCCACGCUACAGGAUCGGACCGAUUAGAAAAAUCAACGAUCUCGUUCGCCUUAGAAAUAAGCUUGGUUAUUGGUAAACUUACCAAAAUACUGUGACAAUAAAAAUAUAUAUCACAUAAA